AACAGAGAGUAACAUUUGUCUUGUAGGCAGUUUAUAGGAACAUUGUGACCAGACCUACAUCCACAAAGAACAAAGGAUUGCAGCAUCAAGGAGUUUGCAACAACCAGCCACGCCUCCACCUCUUUUAGUAAAAAAGAAGCUUGAAGCCAACCUCAGGCGCUGGCCAGACUUCCACUCUGAGAAAACAUCGACUUUGGAGAACCAGAAAGAGGGGGAACUUGGAGAGCUGGGACCAGCCCCGCCAGCCCCGCUUUUUGGUUCUUUCCACAUCCCCAGAUGGUGUCUGUGGAUUUGGCGCUCAUGUUCAAGCUUCACUGACCCUGGAUGAUGAACGAGGAUUUGCUCUGGGCAUCUGAGCCCAGGCUGAGGUGCAGGUGCCAGACUCGCUGUGGGCACUCCAUCCACUUUGCUGCAGUUCACUGGACACUCCCAAUGCACUGGCUACACUGGCAUUGUGUUUUAUCCCAGAGACAAAGAACAAAGAGUAUUGCAUUCUCUGAAGAAGCUCUCAGAAGACACAUUCAAAAUGGUCAAGACUGGUUGAACUGAAAGGGAGAAAGAAAAACUGCCUUAAACAUUUAGGCCAAAUAUUUUGGAUCAGGACAUAUUUAUUUUAUAUGUGAGUAGAUUAUAAAUGUAUGAGGCCAAUGAGCUCUUCAAUACCAAGCUCAUGAACCAUCAUUUCGUUUGAAAUGUACGGAGGUUAUCCAGUCCAAUUCCUUAUUCUACAGUGGAGGCUCCUGAGACCUAGAGGGAAAGUGACUCAGCUAGACUGCUAAACCAGCUGCUUCUGUAUAAACCAGAUAAUCUAUGUGACCUGCUCUGUGCAGUUCAGUAUAAAGAAUGGGGUUACUUGGAUCUCUCACUCGUAAGGACACUUAUUUCUUUUAAUAUAUAGCAUUAUAGAGAUUGUCUAGAUCCAAGACCUUAUUUUUCAGAGGAAGAAAUGAAUGCAUGCAGAGGAGAAAUGGAUGGCCUCAAGGUCAGCAAGUGGUACAGCUGAGAUUGGAAUCUGUCUCCUGACUUUCAAACCAUUUCUCUGUACACUAAAAUAGAAUCCUUGGAGGAUGCUAAGACUUCAAAGGACAUGUAAUUGGAUUCUGAGAUGCUGUCAAAUAUUAAGAAUGAAAAGUUGCAAGUUCUUCAUUUAACAAUGGCCAACACAUUCAUCUCUCUUUUCUACUGAGAAAUACCAGGCUAGAGACUCGUUUUGCAAGCUUUGCUUCUAAGAUACAAACUCCAUGCACAUUUAAUGUUUUCUUUUUCCUCAGUGAGUUGCCCUAAAGCCUGGAGCUUCCACUGAGUUUCAGACAAGGCUUUUCUGUUAAUUUGAUGAAGAAUAGUAUCUAUGUAUUCUGAAACAUCUUUAUCUUCUAGAAUAUUUUACUUAUUUUUACUAAUGUUGAAGAAAACAACUUGUUUGUGUGGAUGGGAUUCCCUAAGACAUAGGUUAUUAAGUGUUUAUUUCCUGGGGUGAAAAGCUUUUCCCCUCUCUUCAAUGAGUGUGGUUGCCAUUAUCUAAGAAGCUUUGGAAGUUAAUUUUACUGAUCUUUAAGAAGCCUAAUUCUCAGUUCUUUGGCUCAUAGCUCAUUGUCCACAUUUCCCCCAAACUUUGGUCAACUUUGGGCAAAAAAUACUGUACAAUUUUUGGAGUAAUGCUAAAUUUUUCUUAUAUUAAACAUUAUGUGUAACACUAUUCUUUCUCAAAUCUGUUAUGGAUUUUACUAUUUUAUUACUUUUUAG
ensembl:lncRNA